rnacentral:rRNA from 1 species
UACGGAGGGGGCUAGCGUUGUUCGGAAUUACUGGGCGUAAAGCGCGCGUAGGCGGCUUUGCAAGUCAGAGGUGAAAGCCCGGGGCUCAACCCCGGAAUUGCCUUUGAGACUGCAUCGCUUGAACAUCGGAGAGGUAAGUGGAAUUCCGAGUGUAGAGGUGAAAUUCGUAGAUAUUCGGAAGAACACCAGUGGCGAAGGCGACUUACUGGACGAUUGUUGACGCUGAGGUGCGAAAGCGUGGGGAGCAAACAGG